GGACCAAACUGUGAACUUGAAAAGCAUAUCCCUGAUCUCCACGUCCUCAUAAGUACACCCUUCCACCCUGCCUAUGUUACGGAAGAAAGGAUCAAAAGGGCCAAAAACUUGCAACUGCUUCUGACAGCUGGAAUUGGGUCUGAUCAUAUAGAUUUGAAGGCAGCAGCUGCGGCUGGGUUAACUGUUGCAGAGGUCACAGGAAGCAAU
rnacentral:misc_RNA from 1 species